rnacentral:miRNA from 14 species
CGGCUCGGAUGAGGACAAUGUU